rnacentral:sRNA from 1 species
GCGUUCUUCAAGCGAGCUUGGGAUAGUGGGAGCCAAGUAGGGCAAAAUAAAGUGCUGGCGCUUUCUGUAGUAUUUUUUAAAACAAUGAAGUAAUAAAUUAGGGUGGAACCGCGUUUCUGACG